rnacentral:lncRNA from 1 species
AUGGGCCAAUCCCCUUCAACUGAAUCUUCUGACAUGUCCGAUACGUCAGACUGUGAAUUACAGGACAGCUUCAAAGAGGAAGAGGGCACAGGUGAGCGUAGUGUAAGUGAACAGACUAGGAAAGACACUGAAGAGUUAACUGACUUUGCUUGUGCCCCGGGGGACCAGAGCCCACUGCUGACAGACUGCGGUGAUGUAAUCGGAGCGGUAGAGUGUGAUAGUGCUUUUCCACCCCUCCUGAUAGAGGGCCUCCAUCAGGGGGAACCUCCACCCGACACAAGCAGCCUGGAACAAAACCAGGAAACAGCUGGUAGGGAUUAUACUCUGGAGCAGCAGUGGGGCUUGACUCCAGAAACAGGUUGUCAUUCUGGGAAUUGUAGUGGGAUAUCAACUGGUGAGGAAUAUGUUCAGUGCACAGCGGAUCCUCCUGCUGAAAUUGUGCAGAAAAUUCGAAGCACAGACUCGCCAACAGAGGAACUAAACCACCUGGACGAAACAUCUGCGUCUAAUUUUCUGACUGAUAACUUUUUGAGCCCAUCGGGUCAAAUUGUGCCUAACUCAGGAGAGACGCCACAUGCGCAUCUUGACUCGGAGAUGGUUCAUGUUUUAUCCAGUGAUGACGAUGGCAGUUUUCUAUCGGUGGGAAGCUCAACAACAGACAUUUGUCAUCGAACUGAACAACAGGGACCAUUGUCUACAGCGUUCAGAACUGACGAACCACUUGUUGAAGAGUCUUGUGACAGCAGGACAGAGUCGCACACAAUGGAUAUAGAGCGGUCGUCGGAUCCUGCCAUUGUCAAUAUAUGGACGGUGCCCGACUGCAGCCAGACUGGCACGGAGCCUGGGCAUCAACUGUCACCCAGUUCUCAUACAAUGGAGCCAUUGAUUGUUGAGGCCAAAGGAGGCGAACUGUCCCUCGACCCCUCCGCAGUGGAGCUGUCAGCGGAGCCACGGUCUGAGAACUGGGACUCUUCAGCUAUAAAAACUGAUGAUAGUGAAAAUGCGUUUAACGGCAACCUGUUUACAGAGGUUGGGCAUGGUUCUCUUGCUCCAAGUCUUGCAAUAUCUAAAUGUGACUUCAGCACUUUGCAAAACUGUGAAACUGCAAAUGAAAGCAAAGAUAAGGAUUAA